UGGGGAAUAUUGCACAAUGGGCGCAAGCCUGAUGCAGCCAUGCCGCGUGUAUGAAGAAGGCCUUCGGGUUGUAAAGUACUUUCAGCGGGGAGGAAGGGAGUAAAGUUAAUACCUUUGCUCAUUGACGUUACCCGCAGAAGAAGCACCGGCUAACUCCGUGCCAGCAGCCGCGGUAAUACGGAGGGUGCAAGCGUUAAUCGGAAUUACUGGGCGUAAAGCGCACGCAGGCGGUUUGUUAAGUCAGAUGUGAAAUCCCCGGGCUCAACCUGGGAACUGCAUCUGAUACUGGCAAGCUUGAGUCUCGUAGAGGGGGGUAGAAUUCCAGGUGUAGCGGUGAAAUGCGUAGAGAUCUGGAGGAAUACCGGUGGCGAAGGCGGCCCCCCUGGACGAAGACUGACGCUCAGGUGCGAAAGCGUGGGGCAGCAAACAGGAUUAGAUACCCUGGUAGUCCAGCGCCGUAAACGAUGUCGACUUGGACGGUUGUGCCCUUGAGGCGUGGCUUCCGGAGCUAACGCGUUAAGUCGACCGCCUGGGGGAGUACGGCCGCAAGGUUAAAACUCAAAUGAAUUGACGGGGUCAUAGCUGUUUCCU
rnacentral:rRNA from 1 species